AGAGUGGAGUGAACAGGGCCAGCCUAAAGCAACACUUCAGGGAGCUCCACAUGAAGGCUUUGAUGCCAACCAGAGUAGGUGGAACCCGGUGGCUACCACAUCUCUUCAAAGCACUUGACCAUUUUCUCAGGGGAUAUGCUGGCAUUGUACGCCACUUGGAGAAGUCCCAGGAGGCCACGAACGUCAAUGCUGUUCUGAGGGCAAAACCAAGGGGUUCCUCAACAUAGGCAAGGAUGGUGGAGUGCUCAGGUUUUGCUGCCUUCUCCAUGACACCAUCUAUCAACUGAGCAACCUCUCCAAGUCACUGCAGAGGUCAGUGUCAACCGUGGCUGAAGCUCAGAGCUGCCUUUCCUCCACUCAGGCUGUCAUAGAAAAGUACAAGUCAAGACCUGGGCCUAAGCUGAGAGCAGUGCUGGACACAGACACUUAUGAGGG